AUUGAACGCUGGCGGCAUGCCUUACACAUGCAAGUCGAACGGUAACAGGUCUUCGGAUGCUGACGAGUGGCGAACGGGUGAGUAAUACAUCGGAACGUGCCUAGUAGUGGGGGAUAACUACUCGAAAGAGUGGCUAAUACCGCAUGAGAUCUACGGAUGAAAGCAGGGGAUCGCAAGACCUUGUGCUACUAGAGCGGCCGAUGGCAGUUUAGGUAGUUGGUGGGAUAAAAGCUUACCAAGCCGACGAGCUAUAGCUGGUCUGAGAGGACGAUCAGCCACACUGGGACUGAGACACGGACCAGACUCCUACGGGAGGCAGCAGUGAGGAAUUUUGGACAAUGGGCGAAAGCCUGAUCCAGCAAGGCCGCGUGCAGGAUGAAGGCCUUCGGGUUGUAAACUGCUUUUGUACGGAACGAAAAGCCCCGGGUUAAUACCCUGGGGUCAUGACGGUACCGUAAGAAUAAGCACCGGCUAACUACGUGCCAGCAGCCGCCGUAA
rnacentral:rRNA from 1 species